rnacentral:rRNA from 1 species
GACGAACGCUGGCGGCGUGCUUAACACAUGCAAGUCGAACGGAAAGGCCCUGCUUUUGUGGGGUGCUCGAGUGGCGAACGGGUGAGUAACACGUGAGUAACCUGCCCUUGACUUUGGGAUAACUUCAGGAAACUGGGGCUAAUACCGGAUCGGAGCUCCUGCUGCAUGGUGGGGGUUGGAAAGUUUCGGCGGUUGGUGAUGGACUCGCGGCUUAUCAGCUUGUUGGUGGGGUAGUGGCUUACCAAGGCUUUGACGGGUAGCCGGCCUGAGAGGGUGACCGGCCACAUUGGGACUGAGAUACGGCCCAGACUCCUACGGGAGGCAGCAGUGGGGAAUAUUGCACAAUGGGCGGAAGCCUGAUGCAGCAACGCCGCUUACGGGAUGACGGCCUUCGGGUUGUAAACCGCUUUCGCCUGUGACGAAGCGUGAGUGACGGUAAUGGGUAAAGAAGCACCAGCUAACUACGUG